UUUUCUUGCAGGCUAACUUUUUUCAUUAGUUUUGUUCCUUAAAUAAUAUUAAUAAAUUCAACUUCUUCUUGAUGAUUCUUUACUUUUCGAUGACCUUUUGGUCUUCUUUUCUUUUCUAUCAAAACCUACAGAAAGCUUUUAAGACUUCAUGCAUUUUAAAGAUAUACACUUGUCUAUUACCUUUUUUUCUGGUCGCUUUAUUCCGCAGGAUACUAUGCGAUCCUUAUCUCUUUGGAAGCGUGUUCCACUCGAAGCAUUCUUUUAGAUUGUUUUGGCUACCCGUUUCAGUUUUCCAAAUCCUUGUUCCUCUUUCUGCGUCUUACUCUAAUUUCUUUAUUUUUUUUAUACGGUCCGUUUUUCCUUCAUUGUUAGCAGUUUUAUCUGAAAAAUCUGGAUCUUCUUCAAUGAUAAAAUCGUCUCAUGGAUAAUGUUUAAACUGUAGUUAAGGUGGGUAAAUUGCCUGUUUCCAAUAAAAGAGUUUGCUCUAAAGAGGAAGUAUCUGAAAGAAAGAAAGAAAGAAAGAAAAUGUGCUAUAUUACGUAAGAAUAAUCUUGUGUACAAGCAUCUUACAAGCUAAAAAAACAAUAAAAAAAACAAAAAAACAAAUACAAUUACAAAAAUUGACAAAACAAUGAACAAAAUUAAACACAAAAAGACAAAACUUUUUGAACAUACUUAAAUUAAAGAUAACUAAAUAAAACAAUCAAUUACUAAAUAAAGGUAAACUUGUUGACAAAACUAAAGAAGAAAAAAGGAAAAAAAGAAAACUUUCCAACAUGUCCAAGGUUAAAACCUAUCAUUAAAAAAGUCAUCCAGGUUAUAAUAUGCCUUAGCCAAUAAAAGCGACUUUAAUUCUCUUUUAAAUUUUUUAACAUCCGAUAUAUGUCUAACACACAGAGGAACAUGAUUGUAAAUUUUUUUACUUAUGUAAAUUAAUGAGUUUUUGGUAAGGGAAGACGUAGGAAUAGGUAGGGGAACAUCAUUUACACGACGAGUCAAAUGGCCAGUGUCAGAGGGUAGUUUGGGAAUUUUGUGAAUAAGAGCAGCUGUUUCUAAGAUAAAGAGUGAAAAAAGAGUUAGGAUUUUUUCAAAAAUGAAGAGGGGUUUGCAAGAAUCUCUUAACUUAGCAGAACACAGGUAUCUAACUGCUUUUUUUUGAAUAACAAAGAUAAUGUUAAGUAGCCCCUUAUUGGUUAAACCCCAAAAAGGCAAGCCAUACCGAAUAUGAGGUUCAAUAAGUGAAAAGUACACUGAACGUGCAACCACCCCUCCCAGCUCUUGUUUUGCUAUUCUUACUGCGAAACAUCCAGAAGAUAAUUUCCCAGCUAAAUGUAAAAUAUGAUCUUCAAACCGAAGGCGACCAUCAAUGGUAAUUUCUAGGAACUUGCAGCACUCUUUAUUCUGCAAGAGGGAAUUUUCGUCAAACAUCAGACCCUGAACAUCGCACUUAAACCCCAUAAUAGACGUCUUUCUUACAUUAAACACGAGCCUGUUGGAAGCACACCACCCUGAUAAAAUCUGAAGGUCUUCAAGGAUACAAGUCUUAAUAUAGUCAGAAUUUUUAUGGCUCCAUAGUAUGGUGGUAUCAUCAGCAAACUGAACCACCUUGCCCUGCAGUUUCAAUGAACUCAAGUCAUCCACAUACAGUAAAAAUAACAGUGGUCCCAACACUGAACCCUGGGGAACGCCGCAUUUUAGGGAUCUAGAAGCAGACAAACGCCCAGACACUGAAACCUUCUGAGUACGAUUUGAUAGAUAGGACUCAAGCCAUCGCAACGCUACGCCUCUAAAACCAUAUUUAUCGAGCUUAGAUAACAGUCAAAUGCUUUGGAUAGAUCACAAAACACUGCCGCCGAUGACUCUCCAGAAUUCAAGGACACAUAGACGCUCUCCAAAAAGCUAAAAACAGCAUCAUGAGUCCCUUUACCGGCUUGAAAUCCAAACUGAUUUGCAGACAAAAUGCCAUUAUGAUGUGAAAAGGACAAAAUUCUGCUUUUUGCAAGUUUUUCAAUUAUCUUCGAGAGGGUAGACAAAAUAGAAAUGGGACGGAAAUUACAAGGCUGAUCCAAAUCUCCACCCUUAUGAAGAGGGAUAACCACUGCCUCUUUUAAACAUGAAGGAAAAAUUCCAUUAUGUAAAGAAUUGUUUAUGGCAGAAACUAAAGCAUUUAAGGCUGAAUCAGGCAAAAAGAGUAACAACCUCGAAGAUAUCCCAUCAGCUCCAGAUGAUUUAUGGUUUUUUAGGCGUUUGAUUUCAUUUUUUACUUCGGUAAGUUCGACAGGAUGAAAGAAAAAUGAAUGCUCAACCGACACUUUUUGAAGAUAGUGUAAGAGAUCAAUGUUACUACGAAUGCCCUUGAGCAAGAUAUUAGGUAUAUCACAAUAAUAGUCGUUUAAAAUGUCAGGUCUUAACUCCGGUUCCGAUACUUUUCUAUGGCAAUGUCUAAAAUCAUUAAUAAUCGACCAACACUCUCUUUGCCUAUUUGAUGACAUAUUUAAGCGAUCCCUAUAAUAAUUAGAUUUUGCUGCUUUAAUUGUCUUUCUGUACAGACUACGGUAUUUCUGAUGAUAUACAAGGAUAUUUUCAUUUGUGGUAUAUUUGCACAAUUUAGUCAAACAACGGAGGUUUUUAGCAGAAAUUCUAAGGCCUCUUGUAACCCAUGGUUUUCGUUUCUUAGUUUUAAGCCUCAUUUUAGGAAAGUACUGAUUGAUCUUAUCACACAGAACUUGAAAAAAUAAAGUAAGUGGAUCAGAAGCCGUUUCAAGUGCAUUCCAAUUUACCGAAGCUGUAGCAGCAGAAAAAGCAUUGAAAUUUCUCCUGCUGAAAAUUCUUCCCAUAUAAUGAGAUGAAGAUGAUACAGUAUUAUAUGGCAUUUUAGCAAGAAUAGCUUCAUGGUCGGAAAUACCAGAUGGGAGUACUGUGCAUAAAACGUCAUCAAAAUUUGUACAGAAAUAGUCAAUUGUAGUUGCAGAUGAAGAAGUUAUUCGUGUGGGAGAAAGAACGUGCAUUUUCAAGUCGUAAGAAUUUAAAAUACUUAAAAGAGAAGUACGUGGCAAGGUUUCAUCAGUGUAGUUGAUAUUAAAGUCACCAGCCAAUAUAACCUUAGAGUGUAGGGACAACUGGGAUAAAAUAGAAUCAAGUUUGUCCAGAAACAUAGACAUAUCUCCUGUAGGUGGCCUAUAAACACAAAGAAUAUAUAAAUUAAAACGCUUACAAAAAGAAAGAGAGAAUUCAAAAACAUUCUCUAACAGAAGAUGAUCAUACUUAUCAAUAUUACAAAAAAUCGUUUCAAUUGUUUGCCUAGCCAAGAUCAUGGUUCCUCCAUGUAUAGAUUGUUGACGACAAAAAUUUGAUAUAGGAACAUAAUCAGAUAUUAAAAAACAUUCACUAGGCCUCAACCAGUGCUCAGUCAGAAGUACAAUAUCUGAAUUAAUAUUUUCUGUUACUUUAUUUCUUUUUAGAAGAUGCUUAUGUAUGUCUUCACAGAGGCCUUCCUCUCGAAAUAUUUGCUGCUUAAUGUUGCUCUGGUCUAAAUAUGAAGCACUUCAAAUUAAAGUCCAUUAUUUCAUCAGUGCUCAUGUGCGACUUCAGCGAGGACUUCAUCUUGAAAUAUUUGCUGUUGAACGUUGCUCAGCGAAUUAUUCAGCGGAUUAGAAUCCCAACUGUGGCACCAUUUAGUUCAUAAACUUCACUAAACUCUGUGGAUAAUACAGUUUUAAAAAUACAUAAUUAAGAUGAUUUGAUCUGACAUAUGGCAAUUUACAUUUUCAUACCCUUCGAGUCCAAGUAAGAGAUCUAAUUAUCUAUACUACAAGUACUUGUAGAUUAUAUGACACACCAUCCGGUGUAAUAUAUAUUUUAAAUACUAAAUAAUUCUGUAUAGUAGAUUUUACGUUUAUUGAACAUUCAUUUAUUUGAAACAUUUGAACAUCAUUUAUUGAACAUUCAAAAUACUAUUUUUGCUUCGAACAUUGGAAAGAUUGUUUGUCUUUAACAUGCAUAUCGUCCAUAAUACUUGAUUUAGUUUAAAAUGGGUUAUGCUCAUUCGACGUGGAAUUUCAUGUUUUAUUGAUUUAUAAAAUAACAUUUUUACAGGAAUGCUUAGUUUAGGAGUUAUUAUCAUAAAACUGAAAAAAGCCAAGAAGUUCUUGAGACACCCUGUUUAUAGCACAAGCAAAACAUUGGUGCAAACCUUAAAAAGUCUUUUUAUAUGCAAAUAAUAAUAACAGCAUUUCGAACUUUCCGAAAAUUAUUUAGCCUACACCUCCUUUUUUGGUCUACGUUGCCUGGCCUAUUAGCGAAGUUCUUGUUUAAGAAUAAGGAUAGAUGGAAAAAAAGUCACGUAAAAAAUUAAACUUUCGUCUCGUGAUACUUAUUUGAAAGAACAAGCACUACAUCCAAAAUCAUUUAUCCGCUGGUUCAAUCAUACUUAUAUAUCUAUAAUAUCUUAUGCAUUCAUAUAGCUGUGUUUUUGGAUUUUUUCUACUGUGCAAGAAAAAGAACAUAUAAUAUGAGCAGCAAUCUUUAUAAAUGCAAUUUUGAUAACACCGAUACUUUAAACAAAAAUACUACCUAUAGAGGCUACUGAGAAAAUAGGGCAUUCGUUUUGGACAUCCCAAAAAAUCGCAGUAAUUCUCUGAUUUUUCCAACAUAUUAUAACUUCAACUAAGUCACAUUUUCAUUUUGUCUUAUCUGGGACCAGAACAAAAUAAAAAACUCAUAGAGAGAAUUUGUUUUUUCAUUGGAAACUUUUAUAAAAUAAACACACAAUUAUUAGUACAUCUUAUCAAUUCCAACAUAUUUUUGUUAUAGCCAGUCGGAGAUCACGGUUGGCUUUAUUUUUUUUUUCAUUACUUAUCGCUUUACUUUACUUCUUUAACGUCCAGUUUAUGUAAGGUCUAUAUUAGAAGGAUUUCCUGCUUAUCCUUCUAUUUCAAAACCAGAACAUCUCUCUUAAUCUGAAAAGUAAUUUUGCUCAGUUUACACAAGAUAAAUCCCUUUUCGAUUCUUUCCCAGAGUUCCUGCCAAAUAAGUCUACGCACUUAUGUAGGAAAUCUGUCAGCUGGAGUCUUCAUAUUAUAGUAGUUGUCCAUGUACAACGUGUAAUCCUUAUUGAGGUUUGGCUCGUAUAAUUUCGUGACUAUUGAUUGGAUGUAUCCAUCAGGAGUGCCAAGUUCAUUUAACUUUAUUCCAAAUUUUGAACUUUUGUUUAGAAUGUCCUACCGGAAUACUAAUUGCCCACGCCACAGUAAAAUUUUUUUGUAUCUUUCCUCUAAUAUAAUUUAUAACCUCUUCGAUUUUGUAUAAACGAGAUGCUUUUUCAUUUUCUCUAUUGUAAAAGCACAAGUACCUCAAAAUCUCUUCCAAUAUGUUUCUCGACAUUGCUCUGCUAAACACUGGAUGAGCAUAAAGUAUUCCAAUAGCAUUUGAAGCUAGGAAUUUUGAUUUGUUCCAUUAGAAUAAAGUCCAAUAAAACGGCGGAAGGCUUCAGAAGAAGGUGGCUUCCACCUGUUGAUUGUAGAAUGCUUCUGCAAUACAUUUUCUACAAUCUCCAUUACUCGAAAUUUUUCUGAAGAGUGUGUCAUCAAACCCAAAUACCUCACAUGCAGGAGAAUCGUCUGGAACAAUCACUUUUAUAACUUUCCCGUAAAUUCAUAGAUUUUUUAUUUUUCUUUGAUUUCUGUCCAACAUGAAACAUCUUCUGUCAUGGCCAACGAAAAGGUAUCGUUGGCUAAUGGAUUGUGUGACUGGUUUUCAUUACUAUCACUAUCAACGAAAUCUUCAUAUUCCUCACUAUUAAGAGAGGCGAGAUCUUGAAUUUUAAGCCUAGUUCAUAAGUUCGGUACGCUAAGCAGUCACAAGUAACACAUACGCAAGGAAAAUAAACUAGAAAAUAUUCAAAUGGAGCUAUUUAUAAUUUACCAUAGAACGCAAUCCGUAGGUCUUAUUUUCAGUAAGUUUUAAAGUUCACUUUCAUUUCUUGCGUCAUACUUUUUACAGAAUCAUGAGUAACCGAUAAAUAGUAAUAAAAAUAACAAAAAAACACUUAAAAAAAAGAACUCAAGCCAUGCAUAGAAAAUUAUAAAGUAAUACGUACUAUGUUAAUUAUUAACAAAAUUAAAUUUGACUCCAGCUAAAUAAUUGACUUUUAUUGCACAAAUAGCUUGAAUUCUGCUACGCUUCUUACUCUUAUGUUUUUAAUUUAUGAAUGCGCAGGAUCCAUACUGCUUGUGGCUUACUUCUUACUUCUUAUAUAUUACUUCAUAACGCACACAGUACCACAGAAAAUCCCCCUUUAGAAAAGAAAGUUAAAUGGAAGGAGCGUGUCGGGUUGUUUUGAGGUUGUCCAAUCGAAAGAGGGCGCGGAACGUAAUUUUGCGAUUCGUUGCAGAGACUGUUUUGUUUCAUGUGUUCUCCAAUAGAUGAGGCACUCUGUAUUUUUUAAUUUGGGUUUUUCCCGAUUAGCCUUUUGUUCUGGCUGCUAUUAUCAUCGCUAUCCUUACGUUAAACCUCAUUUCGAUUACAAUAUUUUCCGUAAAGACAUUUAAUUGAGAGACUAAAGUAAUAAACAAUAUAAACUUAUUAUCCCCACUAAUAUUUAGUGUCCAGUGCCUGCCAAACGAGAUUAGUGCUCUUCACAAAAUAGGAAUUAGCUACCUAUUUUAUUUAUAGGUAGAAUUCAUUCUACCCACAAUGAUUGUCAGACCAAAACACUGUAAGACACAAACAAGUAUCAAAGCACUAAGAGAAGCUAGGUUGUCCCAGGUGAUUCAUUAAUGCUGUGACGGGGUAGCAUAUUUCAGAAUCUGUGAAAUAUGUACCAUAAAUGUACAUGGAGGUAGCCAUAUUUUCUAAUUAUUAUUCAUUUGUAGUACUGCACAUAAUUAAUUUUAUGCCUAAAAAGAAUAUUGGUGUUUUUUAUAAAAAAAAAAAUUAAAUUAAAAUGCUUUGGAAUUACAACACCUAUGAUACCUAAGGAAGUUUCAUCAAUCCAAUAAAAAGAAAAUUAUUCAAUUUUUUUUAUUGGAUUAAUAAAACUGCAGCCAAAACCGCAAGCAAAUCGGAAAACCCAUAAUGAAACAUACAGUAUCUUCAUCUAUCGGAGAUUGAAUGAAACAAAACAACUUCUGCAAUGUACGGCAAAUCGAUGACAUGCCACGCCAUCUUUCGAUUAAGCGGACAACUGAAAACAACCCGACACAUUUGUUCCAUUCACUUUCAUUUCUAAAGGGGGAUGCUAUGUUUUGUGUACAGUACGGAAUCUAUGCCAAAACAACACACAUGUCAUAUAAACGUCUUCACCAAAACUACAUUUUUUUCCGACACAUAUGCGAGUCCAAGCGAUGUGUCGGACCUAUCUAGAGGUGUAGAUCACGUCAAAAUUUCAGACCGCUCUCUAUAGCACAAACGAUUUACAGAUCCAUUGAGUAUGAUGGAAUUUUGAGUAUGGUCGAGUAUGGUGAAUAUCCGAUAUAUGAUCCAGCACUUGGCUCAUAUCCAGACGCUGGUCUGUGACAAGAAUCGCUGUUGCGAACGUAUUAAGGAAGGAGAAACAAACUUGGUUUCACUUUCACUUGCCCUCUCCUACCCCCAGCCAUCACAACUUGAUAAUCUGGAUCAUCUGCUUGUGAUACUUUAUCUAAAAGUUUGAAAAAAUGCUUUUGAACCCUAUCUUGUAAAGCUGCCUUUGUUGUAGUAAUUUUUUAUUGAUUUAAUGAUAUUAUUUCUUUAUUAAAUUAAAAUUGCAUUUUUUAUUAGAUAUGGCCCACUAAAAUACGAUCCUAUACAUCAUAUUUGACUGGAUUUUAAUGAUAUUUGACGAUUUCAGCUAACUACGCUUACUCAAGCUACUUAAAAAUCGGACAAUUAGAAAGUUUUGAUAAUCAUGGCUAAUAGUGGACUUUUUCAAUUCGAAAUUUGGUAAAACAUAUUAUGUUUUGAAAACAGUAUACACUCCAGUGGAAAAUUGCGUUUUAAAAAUAAAUUCGCCAUUUAUAUUGUGUAUUAUUUUCUCUUAACAUAAAGUAUACAUGGCUUAUUUAUAUUUUAAUUUAUUAAAGAAUAUAUUAAAUGAAAUCAUUUUUAUAUAAGAAACAAAUUAUUAUAAAAUAUCAAAAUCUAUGUUAUUUUCUUAUUCUAUGAUUUCUACCUACAACAAACUAGUCAUAAGUUUUUAAAUUAUAUAUAAGGAUACUAAUAGUAUAUAAUAGCAUUUUAUGCACAAACACGUAUGUUUCGGAAAAAUAAUCUACAAUUUAGUAUUUAAUUUAAAUAAGGGAAGUUGUGUAAGAAAAAACUGAAUACGCUUAGAUAUUAAACAGUACACAUCAAUAUAUUUAUAAAAUUAAACUUAAAAAAACCUAUUUAUAUUGUAAAUUAUAAGGUAAUUAAACAUUGUUAUAUUUGGCUUUUGUCAGGUCUUCAUUAUAAGUCUUCCAUAAGAGGGGUCGUACUAAGUCUGUUAGACUUUUUCUUUAUUUAAUAUGCAACGAAACAAGUGGUGCUAAAUAACUAACAAACAAUUAAAAACAUGGUCUAUUUAGAUCAUGCUUUCAAUUGCCGGCUUUUGUGCCAAAUGGUGACUAAAAAUGCCAGAGCCCGCAUUUUUUGUCACGUUUAUUCCCCUCUUUAUCUUCUGUUACAUAAUAAAAGAAAUAGGGUUAUAAGAAAAUUAUAAUUAUAUCUGUCUAUACUCCUGUCCUAUAUUCUUGUGUCCUUGUGAUUAAUAUUAAUAAUAUUAAAAAGUAAAUUUAUCAAAAAGGUAAUAAAAACUUACAUCUA